rnacentral:lncRNA from 1 species
GUAAAUAUUGCUUGCCCGAAACAGAUUAUAGGUGCUUGAGGUUCUGUAGAAUAUUAGAAACAAAUCAAUUUUAAGAAACUCUUGCAACAUACAAUUAAAAAAACGUAAAUUAACAGAAGCAUAAAAAGCAGUAUAAUCAACAAUUUUGUUUUCUGAUUUUGUUUCUUACUAAAUGGACAAACAUCUGCCAUUUAUCGAAGAGUCGAUAUCACUGCUUGGUUGAAGAAUUUUGGACUCUAUAUAUACCUUUGCUAAAUACAUGCCAAAGUAUAAGAAAAAUAGUACCUAGUAGUCUGUAAAUACAUAAGCCAUAAGGUAUCCUCAGCUGUAAGAAAAUGUGACUUCACUGAAAAUGUCUCAAACUAUGGCUCAGUGCCAAAGACAGUAAGAUAAAUAUAAGAGUAGUAAGAAAAUCAUAUCAACACAAAAAUGCAAAAAGACAAACAAAAACAAAGCCAAGAGUUUAGACCUCAUCAAUGAUUUACUCUGUUGCAUGCUACUUACUGUUUUGUAAUUACAUCCAAUAAGAUAUGUAACAUGAAAAUAUAUAAUACUCUAUCCAAAUCCAUGAUGGAGGAAAUUAGCCCUGUGGGACAUUAGGACUUACUAGUAUUUCACACAAGAAAAAUCAGCCAGUUCACCUUUUCUCCAAAUAAUCAUUUGGAUGUUCAGAUGACUAAUUAACAGUUUGAAUAUGAAACCGGCACGAAGUGGUUUGACAUCAAUUUUGUGACAAAGUGUCUUUGGUUAUCUCGCCUUGAAUUCAUUGUUAGGAAAACCAAGAUGUACGCAUGGUCGUCUCGUGUCCUUGUGUCUCUUAGGUCUGUCUAGGGAAAGUUAUUGGGUUCUGGACGUACGUACCGAGUUAGGACGUACGUACGUUCACUGAAGCAGCGAACUUCUUUUGGUCAGGACGUACGUACUCAGUUAGGACGUUCGUACGUCCAAGUAGGCAGCAGACGUGUUUUCGUAUGGAGACGUACGUACCGAGUUAGAGCGUUCGUACGUCAUGUUAGGCAGCAGGCUUAUUUUUGUGUAGAGACGUUCGAACGUCAUAUCGACGUACGAACGUCCAAAGUCGGUUUGCACAGUUUCGGCCCAUUUUCCUAGGUUUUCAACCCUAAGUAUAAAUAGGGUUUCUCUUCUACAGAACAAGAUAGUUCUUUGGCCGUCCAUCCUUCUUCUUGUUCAUGUGUUUUGGUUAGGUUUGUGAUAGUGAACUUGUUUGUGGCUAUUGAACUCAAUUCCCUUUCUUCCCCCUUUUCCCAAUUCAUAUCUUUGUGAUCUUCAAGAGUUAUUGUGAAUUCGGCUUCGAGUCUUCUUGUGUGUUCAUCAAGAAGUCGAGUGUCUUGUGCGUACAUCAAGGUGCUCUGGUGAAGUCAAGGUGUUAGAGAUAACCAGGAGUAUCAACUCGCAGUGAGUGCAGGUAGUUGAUAGGUUUGUACAUCUCUUUUCAUCUAGUGGAUUAUUUUGUUGUCGCGAGGACAACCGUGGAUGUUUCCCAGUUUGGGUUUUACCACGUUAAAAAUUUCUGUGUGUUAUUUACUUUCUGCGUAUUGUUUGUUUGCUUGUUUGAAUUCACAUUUGUUAUACUAGCACUAUUUGUAGUUUCUCAAUUGGUAUCAGUCGCUGGGGGCUGGUUAAGGAGCGUAAAGGCUCACGCUAACGAUCAAUAGUGCUUUAUGGAAUCUCACAAGUCUGCUACUUCAAGUCUUCCUCCACAAUUCAGUGGAAAGGACUUUGGUCAUUGGAAAGUACGUAUGCGAGCUUAUCUCCAAGCAUUAGGAGAAGAAGUCUGGCUUUCUGUUGUCACAGGGUGGAAAGAACCUCUGACUACUACAGGUACUGAUGAUACUGCUGUUACAUCACUGACGCCACGUGAAAAGUGGACGCCUGAACAGAAGUUGUUGGCAAAUUAUAACAACAAGGCACUCAAUGCUAUUUUCAUGGCAUUAAAUGCUAGUGAGUUUCGUAGGGUGCAGGGCUGUGAAGAGGCUAAAGAUGCAUGGAACAGGCUUAUCUGUACACAUGAAGGUGACGAAACAGCCAAAGAAAGUAAGCUGGAACUGUUAACAUCUCAGUUUGAGAAUCUACGGAUGGAUAAUUCUGAGACCUUUGAUGAUUUCUUUAUUCGUCUCCAAGACAUCAUCAACUGCAGUGCAGCUAUUGGUCAUGCAUAUACUGACACACAGGUGGUACAUAAGAUAUUGCGUGCUUUGCCUCCUCGGUUUCGUUCACGAAAGGAUGCCAUCACUGAAAGUAAUGUAAUUAAGAACAUGUCCAUCGAGACACUUGCUGGCAAACUAAGGACAUGUGAGAUGGAACAGGCUUUGGAAGAACCUUUGAAGAACAAAUCUGUUGCAUUCAAAGCUACAUCGUCUAAAGAACCUUCCACAGGACCUUCUGGUGAUGAAGAACAGGAUGUGGAUGAUAACUAUGCGUUUCUGUCACGUAGCUUUCAGAAGAUUCUGAAAUAUCAACAGAAUCGAGAUCCUCGAAAGCGAUUUCCUGAUUCCUCAAAUGCUCCUAGAAGUCGUGGUUUUGAGCGGUUCUCUGUGGAUGGGAGGAGAGCUCGGGUUGAUCGUAAAGAUGUCCAAUGUUACAAGUGUCGUGAUUAUGGACACUUUGCAAAUGAAUGUGAUAAGAAGGUCGAUCGCAAACCUGGUGAUAAUUCCAAAGCGAAUCUCACAGUAACAUGGGAUGAUUCAGAUGAAGAUGAUGAUGGGAAUCUCUCAAAUGUUGUCUCCAAUUAUGUGGUCUUCAGUGCAUCCCUGGAUGAACAUCCAGGAGGUAUUGUAUCUUCUUCUGCUGAUAUUAAUGUUUCUGAUUCUGGUGUUCAUGCUACUACUAGUGAAUUAUGUGACAUGUAUAAGUUUUCUAUGCAACAAGUAAAGUUGCUUGAAAAAACUAACACCGUCUUGCAGGAUCAGGUAGAGAGUCUUGGACAGGAUAUAUGCACUCUUACAGGUGAUUCUAACAUGUUGAAGGAAGAAUUUGUGAAGGAAAAGGAGGAUUUCCAAGUGCGUAUUGUCACUCUGGAAAAAUUGAAUAAUGAUCUGGAAACACGGUAUCGAUCCCUUGUACUUGAGCAUGAGAGAGUAAAGGCUGAAUUGUUUGCUGCUAACAAACAAUUGGUUGGUUUUGGUAAAGCAAGUGCUAAUCUAAACUCUCUGUUGGGAAUCGGUAAAUCCCAUUCAGAUAAAUCUGGUUUAGGUUAUGACACUUCUGUUCCCCUCGCUACUGCUAGCACUUCCCGCACUACCUUUGUGCGACCAACAAGUGUCGCUAUUCCUGCUCCUGUGCAGGUGUCUAGUGUGGUAUCACCACCCAAGGUUACUCAUGUAAAGCAUGUUCGGAAAAAGAACUUUGGACACAAAGGCUUUAAAUGUCUAACAUGUGGUCGCAUGGGUCACACUUCUGCCUUUUGUUGGAAUAAUUUGUAUCCUGCUCAUCAUCCUUCUUUUGCAGGUAACUCAUAUUGGAACAAGUCUUCCACCUUCUCCAUGCAGGCUCCAUACAUGUGGAAUGGCUAUGCUCCGUGGGGUUUACCCAGAACUUCUCCUUAUGGAAACCGUUCUCAAGCUACAUACAUGCCUACUCCACCACCACAUUUCUGGGAUAGGAGUAUGGAUGCAUCCAGGAAAAUGGUGUCUCACAUGGCUCGUUUGGUUGAACCAUUGCCUUCAUCAUGGUAUCUUGACAGCGGUUGUUCGCGUCAUAUGACAGGUGAUAAGACUCUGAUUGAUAACCUGACUCUUGGUUAUGGAGGUAAGGUUAGGUUUGGUAAUGGUAAAUUGCUUCCGGUUGAAGGUAAAGGUAACUUUUCUGAGGUUGAAUCGCUCAAUAGUCAUGAGCUUCUUUUUGUUAAGGGUCUUAGGUGCAAUCUAUUGAGUAUUAGUCAGUUAUGUGAUGCUAAAUUUAAGGUUGUGUUUGAGGAUAAUAGGUGUGACGUUUUUGAUUCCAAUCAUAUCUUGGUGUUAUCUGGUAGUCGCUCAUCUGAUAACUGCUUCAUUGUCACUACACCUCUUCUGCAUUCAUAUGUCUAAUGUGUUCAUUGGAACUGUCUGUGUUUCGGUGUUUUUGGUGUUUAUUAUUAUUGUGGUUGUUUUUGAGGACAUACUACCUUCUCUAUUGUGUGGAUUCCAUUUUACAGAUGUUUCUAGUUUGGCGUUCUCAACUGUCUAUGUGUCAUGCAUAGUGGUGGGUUACAUCAUACUCUCUUUGUUUUGGUAGUUUCUUGCAUGCUGCAUGUCAAUGUGGUUAGCUUGACCUUUUCAAUACAUGUAUAACUCCAGUUUUCCAUGGUUGCUUUUCAUGAUCGUUGUUUUUAUUUUCUUUAUUCUCUCACCUCUUGUAAGUGGUCAAUUACUCACAAAAUCCCCAGCCAUUUGAAUGUCUUGAGAGCAUACUCAUUUGGCUAAGAACCCGUUGGGGCUGUGAGGGUCAUGCUCUGACGGAUGCACUCAAGAGAUGUUAGUUCUUGUGUUGCACGUUAUCAUGGUAUUGCACUUCUUGAGUGUGUUUUGCCGAAAAGAUGUAGGCUACACCCUACCCUCGUGUUCUGGUAAAAGAUGGAGAUAUUUCAUACUCCCACACGGGAAUGGCAUCUGUUUCAAUGGUUUACAAAAUAAACAAACAAAAAAAAAAAAAAAAAAAAAAAUGAAUGAAUAGUGGCUUUCGCAUUUGUCUCGUUGAAAGACAAGAGGAAAAACAAUAGUGUGUGUUUUUCCUUAUUGUAUUGUGAUCUGGUUCAGUUUCAUUUUGGGGUAGUUGCAGGUGACUUUCAAUAUUCUCAAUGAUCAUGUCCUUAGUUUGUUUUUCGGAGGUUGGUAUUGGUCUCUCCGGUUCUUCUACAUACUUGCAUCAUUCUAGUAACUACCAUGUCAUGGUGUAUGAUGUCGUUCUUUGCUUUUGGUUGAGGAUUGUUUAAACUAUAUUCGGUUGUAAAUGGAAUUCGUAUGAUAAGUAGAAGUAUUUUCUUGUGAUGUCUCUCAAUAUCUCAAUAUCUGCUUUUCGGGUUAUGUGGUUUAUUUUUAUAAAAAAAAAAAAAAAAGGGGGUCGUACGAACGUUGUGAUGACGUCCGAACGUUGAAGUGGGCAGAUCUAUUUCCAACGUACGAACGUUAUUAGAACGUACGAACGUAGGGUCUGACAGAUGUUUUAUUUUUUAGUCCCGACGUACGAACGUCUUUAGGACGUACGAACGUCCCUGAUACAGUCCGGCCAAUUUGUGUUUAAAUUCAAAUUUUGUUUGAACCAAAGGUUUACUGUUACAUCAAUCGUGCUCCCUUCUUGUCUCUUGCACGAACAUAGGAAGUCUUCAUCUUCCCUCAAGGUCUUUUCUUUGGUCUUUCCCUUCUUCUUCUUCUUUGGUGGUUGUUUAUUGCUUCUUUCAAGCAGCUUGUUUCUAUUUCUUUGGUAUUGAGGAUGUUCUUGGAUAUUGCUAUUUUCAUGGUAGCUCAAGUUGGUUUCCUUGUUUUGCAGUAAAUUUUUCUGAGGUAAUGGACCUUUCUUUUUGGGCCCAUGAUAUGUUUACUCCUAUUUUUUCUUAUAAAUAGGGAGUCUUCUCCUCUUUUUCUCCUAUUGUAUCUUCUUAUCUCUUUCUAGUUCUAUCUUUGUUCUUCAGAAUUUCCUAUGACAGAAUUUGCACUUCAUGGAGUUUUUGUUCCGGCUGUUGGGUAUGUGUCGUUUAUGGUCAUGGAGUACAAAAACAAUGCUAAGGUUUGUCGUUUAUGUCGCGUUCCUCAUGGGUAUGACUAUGAUCAUCGACCUUUACUUCCUUCAUGCAUGGUUCAUAUCAAUCAUUGGGAGAGGCUACCGGGACAUCUUCAGAAUCACAUCUUGGAAUUGGUUGGAUACCCGAGGGUUCCAGGACUUGCUGCUCCUCUUACCGACUGUGGCUUGGAUAGCAGAAUUGGGGAGUUAUUUUGUACGAGUGCUGAUAGUCCUGUGCAAACUCGGUGGAAUAGCUAUUCGGCUCGUGCGAAAGCUUUAUGUCCUAUCUUAAGCUUUAUGUUCAUAUGAUCGCUCGGUGGACUAGACUUCGGCUCGUGUGGAAGCUUACUUCUCCAUGCUUCGUUAAUUCAAGCAUUAUUGUUUUCUGUUAUGGAUUCCUUUGUUUGGUUAUUAGUUGAUUUUCUGAACUUUUAAUAGUUGGAUUAGUUUUAUAUUUUUAUCUGUCUUAUAUUCUUUGUUUGGUAUUGAUUUCUUCUUCUUGGUUAUUGGUUUAUUGUUAUUCUUUUCCUUUAUUGGUUGGUUAUUUUGUUCACUUGUUGUGACAAAAAGGGGGAGAUUUAUGACUCUAAUUACUAACAAUCGUCUUCUUGUUGUUAGGUUAUUUUUGGGUCAUGUUUCAGGUAUGCUACACGUAUGGGGGAGUUGCUCAUGAAGUUUGGAGCUCAUGAAGUAUGGGGGAGUUGCUCGAAGGAACUUCUGUUGAAUCUUUGAUUGCUUCCGUUCGAUCUCUGAUGGUUAAAGCAUCUUCCUAAAGCUGGAUAACAAGAAUUGGUGACUUGUUAUGUGUUUCUAUUUCGAGUGUUUUUGUAGGCAUGUUUUAUAAAUGCCAUGGUUUGGGAUUGUAAGCACGUUUUAUAAGUGCUAUUACAGUCAUAGGUUUUUGUCACAAAAUCAAUGUCAAAGGGGGAGAUUGAAACCGGCACGAAGUGGUUUGACAUCAAUUUUGUGACAAAGUGUCUUUGGUUAUCUCGCCUUGAAUUCAUUGUUAGGAAAACCAAGAUGUACGCAUGGUCGUCUCGUGUCCUUGUGUCUCUUAGGUCUGUCUAGGGAAAGUUAUUGGGUUCUGGACGUACGUACCGAGUUAGGACGUACGUACGUUCACUGAAGCAGCGAACUUCUUUUGGUCAGGACGUUCGUACGUCCAGGUAGUCAGCAGACGUGUUUUCGUAUAGAGACGUACGUACCGGUUUAGAGCGUUCGUACGUCAUGUUAGGCAGCAGGCUUAUUUUUGUGUGGCGACGUUCGAACGUCAUAUCGACGUACGAACGUCCAAAGUCGGUUUGCACAGUUUCGGCCCAUUUUCCUAGGUUUUCAACCCUAAGUAUAAAUAGGGUUUCUCUUCUACAGAACAAGACAGUUCUUUGGCCGUCCAUCCUUCUUCUUGUUCAUGUGUUUUGGUUAGGUUUUUGAUAUUGAACUUGUUUGUGGCUAUUGAACUCAAUUCCCUUUCUUCCCCCUUUUCCCAAUUCAUAUCUUUGUGAUCUUCAAGAGUUAUUGUGAAUUCGGCUUCGAGUCUUCUUGUGUGUUCAUCAAGAAGUCGAGUGUCUUGUGCGUACAUCAAGGUGCUCUGGUGAAGUCAAGGUGUUAGAGAUAACCAGGAGUAUCAACUCGCAGUGAGUGCAGGUAGUUGAUAGGUUUGUACAUCUCUUUUCAUCUAGUGGAUUAUUUUGUUGUCGCGAGGACAACCGUGGAUGUUUCCCAGUUUGGGUUUUACCACGUUAAAAAUUUCUGUGUGUUAUUUACUUUCUGCGUAUUGUUUGUUUGCUUGUUUGAAUUCACAUUUGUUAUACUAGCACUAUUUGUAGUUUCUCAGAAUAUGAAGUAAGAACUUGUAUACAAGUAUUCCACUACUCAGUAAUAAAGAAAACCCUAAUAAUAACAAACACCAGUCCAACACCAUUAAUAAAUCACACAAAAAACAUGCAAUAAAGAAAAGUACAAACUUAAUAAGUUCUUUCUUCAAACUUAAAUCACACAAAAAACUUACAAAAAAAAAAAAAAAAAAACUAUUCAAUCUUUUCUACAUAACUAAGAACAAACAGUUUAUUAAUCUAUAAAAGAAAUUAAUAAUUAACAAAAAUUCAAAUUAAAGAAUGAAAAUCAACAACGUAAUGAUCGAAAGCAGAAGAAUAUAUCAAAUUGAAGAAGAUCAGAUCAAAAUCUUACCUUAAUCAAAUUGAAGCAACCAAGAAGAAGAUGGGGGUGGAUAACGAAAGAAUUAACAACAAUUCGAUCGAAAGCGUUGGAACUUCUUCUUCUAGUAAUAAGAAGAUUGAAAUCUCUGGAAAGUAUGAAGAAGAAGAUGAUGAAGAAGAUGUUUGUAGAAUAAAAAAACCUUUUCUCUUCGAAAGACGGGGAGAGGUUGCAGAGACGGAGAGACGGGGAGAGAGUUGGAGAAGAACAAACUUUUCUCUUCGAAAUUAAAUUGAGAUAACUCUUGAUAAUCCU